GACGUAGGGCGCGAGCGUUUGUCCGGAUUUAUUGGGCGUAAAGAGCUCGUAGGCGGCUUGUCGCGUCGAAUGUGAAAACUCGGGGCUCAACUCCGAGCUUGCAUUCGAUACGGGCAGGCUAGAGUUCGGUAGGGGAGACUGGAAUUCCUGGUGUAGCGGUGGAAUGCGCAGAUAUCAGGAGGAACACCGAUGGCGAAGGCAGGUCACUGGGCCGCAACUGACGCUGAGGAGCGAAAGCAUGGGGAGCGAACAGG
rnacentral:rRNA from 1 species